rnacentral:rRNA from 1 species
AUUGAACGCUGGCGGCAGGCCUAACACAUGCAAGUCGAGCGAGCGGCGGACGGGCGAGCAAUGUAUGGGGAUCUGCCCGAUAGAGGGGGCUGACUACUGGAAACGGUGGCUAAUACCGCAUACUACCCGAUGAACCCAUGUGGGAUUAGCGAGUAGGUGGGGUAAAGGCUCACCUAGGCGACGAUGCCUAGCUGGUCUGAGAGGAUGAUCAGCCACACUGGGACUGAGACACGGCCCAGACUCCUACGGGAGGCAGCAGUGGGGAAUAUUGCACAAUGGGCGCAAGCCUGAUGCAGCCAUGCCGCGUGUAUGAAGAAGGUUUUAGGGUCGUAAAGUACUGUCAGCGGGGAGGCGUUACCCGCAGAAGAAGCACCGGCUAACUCCGUGCCAGCAGCCGCGGUAAUAC